GAUGAACGCUGGCGGCGUGCCUAAUACAUGCAAGUCGAGCGAACAGACGAGGAGCUUGCUCCUCUGACGUUAGCGGCGGACGGGUGAGUAACACGUGGAUAACCUACCUAUAAGACUGGGAUAACUGCGGGAAACCGGAGCUAAUACCGGAUAAUAUAUUGAACCGCAUGGUUCAAUAGUGAAAGACGGUUUUGCUGUCACUUAUAGAUGGAUCCGCGCCGCAUUAGCUAGUUGGUAAGGUAACGGCUUACCAAGGCAACGAUGCGUAGCCGACCUGAGAGGGUGAUCAGCCACACUGGAACUGAGACACGGUCCAGACUCCUACGGGAGGCAGCAGUAGGGAAUCUUCCGCAAUGGGCGAAAGCCUGACGGAGCAACGCCGCGUGAGUGAUGAAGGUCUUCGGAUCGUAAAACUCUGUUAUUAGGGAAGAACAAUUGUGUAAGUAACUAUGCACGUCUUGACGGUACCUAAUCAGAAAGCCACGGCUAACUACGUG
rnacentral:rRNA from 1 species